AUCUCAUCUAUCGUCCCUGCAAUAAUAACCCAAGAGACAUGAAACGAUCUGCCAAAAUCCCGUCGAACUCAACACUGAACACGUCUCCUCAGAUCUGGAAUUCUGGACCGACAAUAACCCAAGAUGCCAUGAUGAACACAAGCGGGAGGACGUAGUUGACUUGUGACAUCUCUCGCUCAUACGAUCAGUUCGUGGAUUUUCCCCACUCGGAUUGGGCGAGGUUUUUUUUUCAGUUUCUUAUUCUUUCCUUUUGGAUCGAUGCUUAUUCUAGCUAGCUGCUGGCACUUGCUUGUUGCAGCUUGUUCGAGGCACGCAUUUCAUAGGGUAGCUGUUACGACUCUCCGGACAUCUCCUCAUAUCCGACCUGAUCAUCUGACGCCUUGGGAUUUUACAGGAUCUUGCAUCAAAACCUUUUGAGCAAGCAGUGGACGACCAAGGAGCACGCAGUCCAGCAUGUAAAGGAUAUUGUGUCCUUGCAGAUUUCAUCAGCUCGGACACGGUAGCACAAAAGACAAGAAAAAUCACCCAUUGCAACAGCGCAAGCACAUCAAGCUACAUACUGCAGUGAGGAACUAGUUGAAGUUUUGGCCGAGCCAUGGCGACAGCUGCCGUAGUCAGCGUCUCCAUGGGGGUGAUGAAGCCCGUCCUGGCCAAGCUCGCCACCAUCAUGGGUGAUAAGUACAAGAAGCUCAAGGGGCUGCGCAAGGUGGUGACCUUCCUUCGGCGUGAGCUCAGCGACAUGGAUGCUCUGCUUGAGAAGAUGGACCUCGCCGAAGAACUCGACCCACAGGCCAAGAAUUGGAGGGAAGAUAUAAUAGAGAUGUCCUAUGACAUCGAAGACCGCAUUGACACUUUAUGCAACGUGUUGGUGAAGCCCACAACAAGGUGGGGAUCCUUCGGAAAGCUUCCAAGUAUAUGAGAACUUUCAAGGAUCGUCGUCGGCUAGCAAAUCAGUUUGACGAGAUCAACACCAAAGUAAUGGAAACAAGUGAACGUCGAAAGAGGUACAUGCUUGAUCAGUCCAUCUCAAUUACUGCCCCCGUAGCUGUUGAUCCUCGCUUAUCAGCAUUCUACAAGAAGUCUGCGAGCCUUGUGGGCAUUGAUGCCCAAAAAAACGAGCUUGUCGAUUGGGCAAUGGACAAAGCGCAACAAUUAAAAGUGAUGGCAAUAGUAGGACUUGGAGGUUUAGGGAAGACCACGCUAGCAAAUGAGGUGUACCGUGAAGUUGGAGGGAAGUUUGACUGCAAGGCAUUUGUGCCCAUUUCUCAAAAGCCAGAGAUGUUAGGGCUAUUCAAUAGCUUGCUAUCGCAACUUGGGCUAGGCACAUAUUCUCAUGCUUGCCAGCUCCAAGAUCCUAUCAACAAACUCAGAGGACAUCUACAGGAUAAGAGGUAGUCAUCAUCAAUGUUCUAAUAAUUUAUAAGAAUUAAUAUCUUGUAACUA